AGAGUUUGAUCCUGGCUCAGGACGAACGCUGGCGGCGCGCCUAACACAUGCAAGUCGAACGAGCGAGAGAGAGCUUGCUUUCUCGAGCGAGUGGCGAACGGGUGAGUAACGCGUGAGGAACCUGCCUCAAAGAGGGGGACAACAGUUGGAAACGACUGCUAAUACCGCAUAAGCCCACGGCUCGGCAUCGAGCAGAGGGAAAAGGAGCAAUCCGCUUUGAGAUGGCCUCGCGUCCGAUUAGCUAGUUGGUGAGGUAAUGGCCCACCAAGGCGACGAUCGGUAGCCGGACUGAGAGGUUGAACGGCCACAUUGGGACUGAGACACGGCCCAGGACUCCUACGGGAAGCA
rnacentral:rRNA from 1 species